CUGACAUUAUGAAGAAGACAAUUGUUGUCUGAUCUAUGUGAUGAUAAAUUCCUCCUACUCAUUCUGA
rnacentral:snoRNA from 2 species